rnacentral:rRNA from 1 species
GUGGGGAAUUUUGGACAAUGGGCGCAAGCCUGAUCCAGCAAUGCCGCGUGCAGGAAGAAGGCCUUCGGGUUGUAAACUGCUUUUGUACGGAACGAAACGGUCCUGGCUAAUAUCCGGGGCUAAUGACGGUACCGUAAGAAUAAGCACCGUCUAACUACGUGCCAGCAGCCGCGGUAAUACGUAGGGUGCGAGCGUUAAUCGGAAUUACUGGGCGUAAAGCGUGCGCAGGCGGUGCUGUAAGACAGGCGUGAAAUCCCCGGGCUCAACCUGGGAAUUGCGCUUGUGACUGCAGUGCUGGAGUGCGGCAGAGGGGGAUGGAAUUCCGCGUGUAGCAGUGAAAUGCGUAGAUAUGCGGAGGAACACCGAUGGCGAAGGCAAUCCCCUGGGCCUGCACUGACGCUCAUGCACGAAAGCGUGGGGAGCAAACAGGAUUAGAAACCCGGGUAGUCC